GGGGAGUGAGCAUGCUUAUUGACUCAUACCUUAUUAAUCUUUUAAAAGAUCUGGGGUUUUCAUUUGUCUGGGGCUAGUGUUGCACACCUCACAAUUCUUAUAGCUGUACCAGGCUGCAGAAAAGAACACAGGCAAACAAUGGAGGGAGGUAGUAGGCACACAAAAUGGACGGAAAGACAACAUGGCUGACUGAUAAAUUUAAGGGUGAAGAAGUGCAAGUAUAGAGACUGUGGGCUACGACUCUGGGACCCAAGCGUCUGAUGUCGAGUGGCUCCAUGAUGUCGCAAGAAGGCAGAAGCUGGCCCCCAGCAGGUAGUUACGAUUCCUGAAUAUAGACGAGACAUGACGCUGGC